GAAGUAUGGUACCCAAGCUAAAGCUUCUAACUUCAAGCUUAAGCGAUGAAAUUUCGUUUAUACUUCU
rnacentral:tRNA from 1 species